rnacentral:rRNA from 1 species
CGGACGGGUGAGUAACGCGUAAAGAAACUUGCCCUUUAGACUGGGAUAACAGAGGGAAACUUCUGAUAAUACUGGAUAAGUUAGUAUAUCGCAUGAUAUGCAAAUGAAAGCUACGGCACUAAAGGAGAGCUUUGCGUCCUAUUAGCUAGUUGGUAAGGUAAGAGCUUACCAAGGCGAUGAUAGGUAGCCGGCCUGAGGAGGUGGACGGCCACAAGGGGACUGAGAUACGGCCCUUACUCCUACGGGAGGCAGCAGC